rnacentral:rRNA from 1 species
UAGUGGCGAAAGGGUUAGUAAUGGAUAGGUAACGUACCCUGUGCUUCGGAAUAGCGUCUCCCGACUUGUCGGGAUACCGAAAGGGUCGGUAAUACCGAAUAAUAUCAGUUGUCGAUGGGCAACUGAUCAAAGAUUUAUCGGCAUUGGAGCGGCCUAUCUCCUAUCAGCUUGUUGGUGAGGUAAUGGCUCACCAAGGCAGCGACGGGUAGCGGGACUGAGAGGUUGACCCGCAACAUCGGGACUGAGACACUGCCCGGACCUCCACGGAGGGCUGCAGUAACGAAUAUUGUGCAAUGGGCGAAAGCCUGACACAGCGACGCCGCGUGCGGGAGGAAGUCCCUCGGGAUGUAAACCGCUGUCAGGGGGAAGAAAGUCCGCUUCGGCGGAUUGAUCUAACCCAAAGGAAGUCACGGCUAACUUCGUGCCAGCAGCCGCGGUAAGACGAAGGUGGCAAGCGUUGUUCGGUGUUACUGGGCUUAAAGGGUGUGCAGGCGGAAAGGUAAGCGUCUUGUGAAAGCCCCCGGCUUAACCGGGGAAUUGCUUGGCGAACUACCUUUCUUGAGGCAGGUAGGGGCGCAUGGAACUCUUGGUGGAGCGGUGGAAUGCGUAGAUAUCAAGAGGAACGCCGAUGGAGAAAUCAGUGCGCUGGGCCUGUCCUGACGCUGAUACACGAAGGCGUGGGGAGCGAACGGGAUUAGAUACCCCGG